rnacentral:rRNA from 1 species
UACAGGGGGUGCUAGCGUUGUUCGGAAUUACUGGGCGUAAAGGGCGCGUAGGCGGCUUUGUAAGUCAGAUGUGAAAUCCCCGGGCUUAACUCGGGACGUGCAUUUGAAACUGCGAGGCUAGAGUGCAGUAGAGGUUGGUGGAAUUCCCAGUGUAGAGGUGAAAUUCGUAGAUAUUGGGAGGAACACCGGUGGCGAAGGCGGCCAACUGGGCUGCAACUGACGCUGAGGCGCAAAAGCGUGGGGAUCAAAC